AUUGAACGCUGGCGGCAGGCCUAACACAUGCAAGUCGAACGGAGUGGCGGACGGGUGAGUAAUGCCUAGGAAUCUGCAUGGUAGUGGGGGAUAACGUCCGGAAACGGGCGCUAAUACCGCAUACUAUCAGAUGAGCCUAGGUAGGAUUAGCUAGUUGGGGGGGUAAAGGCCUACAAAGGAGACGAUCCGUAACUGGGCUGAGAGGAUGAUCAUUCACACUGGAACUGAGACACGGUCCAGACUCCUACGUGAGGCAGCAGUGGGGAAUAUUGGACAAUGGGCGAAAGCCUGAUCCAUCCAUGCCGCGUGUGUGAAGAAGGUCUUCGGAUUGUAAAGCACUUUAAGUUGGGAGGCGUUACCCGCAGAAGAAGCACCGGCUAACUCCGUGCCAGCCGCCGCGGUAAUAC
rnacentral:rRNA from 1 species